AACGAACGCUGGCGGCAUGCCUAACACAUGCAAGUCGAACGAUGCUUUCGGGCAUAGUGGCGCACGGGUGCGUAACGCGUGGGAAUCUGCCCUUGGGUUCGGAAUAACAGUGAGAAAUUGCUGCUAAUACCGGAUGAUGUCUUCGGACCAAAGAUUUAUCGCCCAGGGAUGAGCCCGCGUAGGAUUAGCUAGUUGGUGGGGUAAUGGCCUACCAAGGCGACGAUCCUUAGCUGGUCUGAGAGGAUGAUCAGCCACACUGGGACUGAGACACGGCCCAGACUCCUACGGGAGGCAGCAGUGGGGAAUAUUGGACAAUGGGCGCAAGCCUGAUCCAGCAAGGCCGCGUGAGUGAUGAAGGCCUUAGGGUUGUAAAGCUCUUUUACCCGGGAUGAUAAUGACAGUACCGGGAGAAUAAGCUCCGGCUAACUCCGU
rnacentral:rRNA from 1 species